AGAGCAGAUGUGCCCAUGUCCUGCACUGUUUCUCUUUGUUUUCAUAAGUGCAGGAGUGAAGUCACUGCCUGGCAGAUCUUUCAGUGAUGUCUCAGAAGGAAAGAAGAGCUGCCGGUGGGGCUGCGCAGUGGCAGCACAGGGAGAAGUGCUGGGGCUGUGUGAUGGCACGGAGAUGGCACUGCAAGGAGAGAGGAAGAGUGAGUGAACCUGCGAGCAGCAGGAGCCCAGGGCAGAAACAGACAUCAUCUGGAACUGUCUGCCUGCCAGUGCUUUAGAAACAACACUCUGACGAUAACAAAGUGGGUAUUGGCGUUUUUUCAGAUUGACACUCCUAAUAUUUUGACUGGAGUAUGGAAGUGAGGAGUAGCUGAUCCUAAAAUGCUGGACAAGAUUGCACGAGAUUGGAAACUCACUCCUACUACAGAAAAAAAUGGAAAACUCCAAGUCUUCAGAACAAAUCUGAUUUUUGUUUUCAUGUUCUGCCCGUGUUUGGUGCGGGAGUUGAAAUCAAAAUCCAAAUUGUAUUUCCAGAUCUAGGGGUCAUUUUAAGUACCUUUCCAUCUCCCUAGCACAGGUUUUUCUAAGGCUCGUUGACAUCUAAUGAUAAUAAGGUCUUUCAUUACAGAAUCACAAAAUACUCGGCCUGUGGCCUUAUGUUCAAUUAAUAUUUAUUUGACAAUCAUAGGUAAAUUAAUUUCCAUUGUUUCUGUUCUAAUUCUAUACGAGAUUGUAAGAUACAACUAGAGGAAAGUGCAGAGAGCCUGAGUAAAUGUUGCUCAUACAAAAUGUUUCUAUUACCCUUUACUUUUAAAACCAUUAAUAGAUUAUUAGGAGAUAUAAACAUAGGAGACCAUGGAUCAUAUUUGCAUAUUAAUGAAAUCCAUGAAUUAUACAUUAUUUGCUAUAGAGAGUACUAGGAACAGUAUUCCUUCUUUUUUAAUGGCUAUAAAAACUGGCGGUUUCCUGGAGAACACAUCACAUAGCCUCUGCAAUACCUUCUAAUAGAAAGCAAGCAAGCCAGCUCUUCAAAGCAAUCUCUCACUAAAUUUAAUAGAUAUGUUUGUGUUGCUUUGCAACACACAAGUGUGACAGUUCAUUUUAAACAAAAUAGUUUUAAUAAUGUCAUUACUAAUAUCUGUUUGGUCAUCUCUCUGAAAAAUGGUGUUUUAAUGGGAAUGUUUCAUUUUAAUAAAUGGCAGAAGAGGCAAGCUGCCCUGAGUCAGCAGGAAGUGGAUAUACACCAGAGAACAGGCUGAUUGUGUUAGAUUCAUCCAGAACAUUGAACAGCACACAGACAGUCCAAGAAAAAGCAACUGGCUUUAUUCAAAUGAUUAGUCUUGCUGCUACGCUGUAGCGCAGAUUCACACAUUCUUCUAUUAUUCCUUGACCUUGUGCCAAAAACUCCCACUUGAAGUAAUAAUUAGAAUUAGUGUUUCCAGUGCAUGCUUCCAUCUUCCUAACAAACAGUAAUGAAAUGUGGCUUUUACAAAAUAUGCAGUUAAUUAAACUUUUUAAAAACAUUGGUUGAUUAAUACAGUUCCUCUGUGCUAUCCCCUUGCUGUGCCCAGCUCUUUCUACCUGAUAUUGGUGAACCAGAAGAAAAGCACUAGCAGUGAGAUGAGGGACAGUUUGGAAAUUUGCACUUCAAUAUUUGUUAUAUAUAUAUUUUCUUUUCUUUCUUGUUUUGACUCUGUCUAGGCAUAAACUGGAAAGAUGGCCAUUAUUUGUAAUCACAAGUUUUUAAGCCCAGGACAGUGUGCGCAUUAUAUAACUGCUCUACACAUACCCUCAGCAUGAAUGUGAAGAACACAUAUAUCAAGUGCUACAAGAUGAUGAGGCAGGAAGCAAGUUACAUCUUGGAGAAAUUGCCCUCAGGAGAGAGGAAAAACUAUUGCGAGGUUGACAGCACAACCUUGUAGCAGCGCAGUUUGCCUUUCCCAGUGGUUCAAGGAGUUCCAAGCACCCUCUUGUAAAUCAUCGACUCACAUCUAUUUAUUAUCUUCCAGCCCAGUGCACAACACUAUCUGUUACACACGGAUACCAGCAAUAUUACAAGGUGGACUCCAGGGAUAAGAGACAGCCAACCCCACACACCUCCCACGCCUGAGUCAUACCCGGGGUAACGCCAGGUCCUGCUCAUACCUGCUCUCGGCAGAAAUGAAACAGUACAAGCUGUUGUGUUUCAGAGCCUUUUUUAAUUGAUUCUCCAGAAUGCUUGAUCUUACCUGCUGAUAUCCCUGUGUUAUUAUUCAGAGGCACAGUCUAUCUGCAUAGCAAUGGACAAAAUGCCUGUGAAAAUAUUGCUAUUCAUUCAGUCGAUGUCGGAACUGGAGUAGGCACCAGCUACACUCUGCAAUGCUUGUCCUGGAAUAUCAAUAAAUAAAUCAUAAAAGCCAA